rnacentral:lncRNA from 1 species
GUCGUCGUAAACGUCUCGGUAAUAUACGAUAAAAAUAUUAUACCGUCCUCGGACGGAUGUUAUUCAAAAACGUCCGUUGAAAUGCUGUCGAAAACGGUUUUCGUUUUGGUUUGUGUUCGAGCGCCGUGUGUGCCACAAACACACACUGCGUGCACCGGAGGCGUCGUUUGAGGAAUUCGGACAACACUUUGGCAGCCCCAUAUUUUUUUUAAAUGUUUUCUCGGCCCGCAUAAAGUGCUAUGACAUUGCGCCGUUGUCGAUAAAAUGUAAAAUCGGUAAAUGGUAAUCGAAUCGCUUCCCGCUUCUACAAGGGUCCGACCGUCUGUGGCGUAUGGCAGUGAAACAACACGGGGGAUUCUCACCACGGUUUAUUAUCAACUGUUAAUUCUUAUCACGGCUAAAUAAACAAGUAAGUUAGCAAGAUAACAGUGCGCGACCGGCGGAGUGAACUAAGGUAUAAUGAGUGAAGUGCACGUGAAAAAAUAUACUACGGUCGUAGUUUAGUAUCGACAUUACUGUAAUGUCAACAAACCUUUAGUAUUUGAAUAUUAAAUUGUAAAGCGGGAAAUGUAAGGUAAAAGGAAACGAAGUGACCGAUUUUCAGAAAAAUUUACCAGAUCCUAAUGUUUGCAACUUUAUUGAAAAACUGAAACGACGUCCCUAAUGUGCACCGAAAACUUGUAGAAAUAUUUUUGUUUACUUAUAUCUUUUCGGCGUUUUCUCAUUUAUAAUGUUUAUCGGUCGUAGAUACCUGUAAGUGUCUUGUACAAUAUAUUACCUGUCGGUAUUCAAACAGGCGAACAAAAAAAAUAAAAAAUAGGUCCGUAUUAUAUUUUUGUAAUCGUGAUUCAAGAAUAAUAACGUAGAGACAGUUAGGAACUAGCGAUAAUUCUAAAUUGUAUAUUAUACCGUUUAAAAAUUGUACUCCGCAACGAGUAAAAACCGAAAAAAAACCGGAAUUAAGUUUUAAAUUAUUCAAAUUAGAUUAAUAAUUAUAUACGCAAUACAAUAUUGUAAAAAUAACGGUGAAAACACGCAGAUUUUUUAAGGUAAAUACAUCGCGUUUAUAGUUUAGAUUUAAUAAUAAUAUAAUUUCGCUUAGUAAGUUAUUGUCCAGUAGUAUCUAAACAAUGUGAAUACUAUACGGUAGUAUAGUUAAAUACGGACAAUUUUUUACGGGUACAGUAAGUAUAAUGUAACAGUAUUUGUCUGUUUUUGUUUUACAGUAGUUUAUUGCAAAAAAUUAAUUACUGUACCGAACGGUUUUAAAUAGUUUAUUUCUCGACCGGGAGGUAUACCGGUAAAUUCAAUGUCUAUAAUAAUUUGUGUACAAAACGCACUGUAUUUACAUUCUAAAAAAGUUUCAGCCCCGAUCUAUUUGCUGCAGUAUAUCGAAUAUGAUAUCGCGGGCAGUACAAUAUUAAUUUUAAUAGUUGGAAUAACAUUGGCGGACGCAAUCGAAAUUCGAGAAGGGUUAAUAAAAAAAGGGAACGCAAUCGGAUAACGCCCGUGUCUACAAUAUCAUCGUUGGCUGAUAUUAAUGAACUUUUAUCACAGAUAGGCGCAUUAUUUAUUAUGUGAUUAUAAUAAUUUUAACAUUGAGUUUGCGUGUUUACAUUGUUGGGAGAGGGCACCUAUUUCUAUCUUUCUCUAAAACGUAUUUAUCAUAUAUAGAGGUGUUUUUUUCAUCGACAUCAAUCGAUUUUUAGUGAUUAUAUUUACAAAAAGCCGAGUGACUUACCUACGUCGUGUUGAGUAUUCGUAAAUUUCUCGAGAGUAAUUGAUGUGCAACGACAAGUCAAGUUCACGUUCCGUAAUAGUUUAGGAAAAUGAAAAAACCGUCUAUCUACGGGACUUGGUAUUAUUUUUUUUUUUUUGCACAGAAUAUGGUCGAACACGCAGACAAGUGUUUAUCGCUAUUUUCCCCGUAUCCAGUAGAGAGAUUUGCAUUAUUGCCGCACCGAUUUAUGCAUUGCUUUACUCGAAUCUAUCAAGAAAUCCUUUUGGACUAAUUGGAUUCGCUUUGUUGUUGCGCCGAGCGCUUCGAGUUUUUCUCGAUCUACUAACGAAUCAUUCUCUCCUGCGCAGACGAUUAUUUGUUCGUUUUAUUAUAAUAAUUUAUCGUUGUAAACGCUUUUGAAUUCCAAGCUAGCAACGGUGGAUUUUCAUAUAGUUUUAACGUGGAUAAUAUUAUCUUUUCUUUUUUUUUUUUUUUCAGAUUUUCCGGUUUUUCAUGUAAAACGAUUCGAACGAAUACGAAAGUCGACUUCUUUGCAUUAUUAUUUUUAAAUUGUAUACACAUUAAAUAAUUGUACUCGUGCAAGUUAACGAUCGCAGUUCCAAAUAAUUCCUCUCUACACAAUACUUUAUAUCGUAUUAUUAUAUUAUUGCUAUUGUAUUAUAUAGCGUCUGUAUAAUAUAAAUAAUUAUAAUA